UCGUGAAUACACAAGAGAAUCUGCAGAUGGCUCAUUAGAUCAGUUAUGGUUUAUUGGAGAACAGUCAGUUGCCAUGGAUAACUGUGGUAAUUCUAGAGCUAAUACAUGCGAUUAAGCGCCGACCCUUCGGGGGAAGCGUGCUUUUAUUAGGAACAAGGCCAGCCCGGUCUCUUCGGAGGACGGUCUACGCUGGUGAACUCUAGAUAACCACGCCGAUCGCACGGUCUCGCACCGGCGACGCUCCCUUCAAAAGUCUGCUCUAUCAACUUUCGAUGGUAAGUUAUCUGCUUAUCAUGGUUGUGACGGGUAACGGAGAAUCAGGGUUCGAUUCCGGAGAGGGAGCCUGAGAAACGGCUACCACAUCCAAGGAAGGCAGCAGGCACGCAAAUUACCCACUCCCGACACGGGGAGGUAGUGACAAAAAAUAACGAUACAGGCCUCUUCGGAGGCUCUGUGAUCGGAAUGAGUACACUUUAAAUCCUUUAACGAGGAUCUACUGGAGGGCAAGUCUGGUGCCAGCAGCCGCGGUAAUUCCAGCUCCAGCAGCGUAUAUUAAAUUUGCUGCAGUUAAAAAGCUCGUAGUCGGAUUUCUGGCCGGGGCGGGCGGUCCGCCGCGAGGCGAGCACUGCCCGUGUGUCGGUCUUAACGGGCCUGGCACUCUCUCCGGCCAGUUAUUCGGUCGGUCGUGCGGUGCUCUUAACUGAGUGCCGUGCGAGGCUGAAACGUUUACUUUGAGAAAAUUGGAGUGUUCAAAGCAGGCCAAAGUGCCCGAACAGCUCAGCAUAGAAUAGUGGAAAAGGACCUCGGCUCGUUCUAUUUCGUUGGUCUCUGGAACCUGAGGUAAUGAUCAAGAGGGACUGCCGGGGGCAUUCGUAUUGCGGCGUGAGAGGUGAAAUUCUUGGAUCGUCGCAAGACGCCCGACAGCGAAAGCAUUUGCCAAGAAUGUCUUCAUUGAUCAAGAACGAAAGUCGGAGGAUCGAAGGCGAUCAGAUACCGCCCUAGUUCCGACCAUAAACGAUACCGACCCGUAAUUCGCCGGCGUUCCUCCCAUGACGCGGCGGGCAACUCUCCGGGAAACCAAAGUCUUGGGUUCCGGGGGAAGAUGUUGCAA
rnacentral:rRNA from 1 species